AGGGUGUAAACGCUGCAGACUUGGUGUUGGAAGCCCUUUGGGGGCAUUCAGUGCCGGAGAGAAGUUGUUAAGUCUGCUACUUGGGGAGUACGUCCGCAAGGAUGAAACUUAAAAGGAAUUGGCGGGGGAGGCACCGCAACGGGAGGAGCGUGCGGUUUAAUUGGAUUCAACACCGUAAAACUCACCAGGGAAGACUGUUACAUGAAGGCCGAGAUGAAGACUCUGCUAGAUUUUCUAGAGAGGAGGUGGCAU
rnacentral:rRNA from 1 species